GACCUCGUAGCUCAGCUGGUAGAGCGUGCGCUGUACAAAAGCGUAGGCGGCAUUCAUCCGUGGGUUCAAAACUCACCGAGACUA
rnacentral:tRNA from 1 species